CCUGAAAUAGGUUUCAUUCCAUGCCACAGUUCAAAU
rnacentral:sRNA from 1 species